AUGUUAAUAUUUGGUAUAAUAAUUAUAGCAAAUAUUAGGAUUACUCAGGUAGAUAAAAGUAAUUUAUAUGGAAUACAAUGUUUUACAUAACCUUCUUUUGUAUGAGGAACUGUUAGAAAUUCUAUCAAGGUAUCAUUUGAUUGAAUGUCUAAUUUUCCAUACUUAAUACUCUACUUAUAUACGGUGUUGUGAACUUGUGAAUGUGUUCUAGUCAUUAAAAUGGCAUAUUGAUUGUAACUGCUUUAUUUAUUUUGUUAAAUUCAACAGUUAGGUAUCUACAAACAGAAAAAUUGCCGCAAUACCGAGGUCAUCCCUUAAAAACUAAAGUUUGACACAGUAACUGAAUAUAGUAGCAACGUACAAUGUCCAUUAAUUUCUUUCUUUAACGCAUUCACUGCCAGCAACCCGCCAGGCGGGCGCUCAGUCCGUAGUUGCUUUUCGCUACAUACGCAUUUUCCCAUGUUACGAGCAUAAAUUCGAAUAACAUCCCUGUAUAUCAUACCUAUUGUGUCGAAUAAUAGGCCCUCUGACAAUUCCUUAUACAUCUUUUCCUUGUCUCGUGUUUUAUUUUUAUACAAACAAACUUCAUUAAAUAUUAAUUAUUUCACUAUCAUAGCUAAACAUAAACACACUUCUGCUUGUUUAUUACAGUAAUAUGGACGAAAAACAAGAAAGGCAAUGAGAUGGUUGUAGUCAACGGAUAUUCCUUCUGCAAAAACGCGAUACGACGAAACACUGUGUCUUGGAGGUGCACGAACACCUAUCAGAAAUGCAAGAGCCGUUUCUUGGCCACUCCAGAGCGCCAGAUUAUUCGUGCAAACCUUAACCAUAACCAUUCCGCUCAUAAGUUUAUUAUAAGGGAUGGGGUUUAUCUCAGAGUUUAACCCACGGUCAAAGAACCCCUAAAGCGUCAACAACUGAGCGCGGCUCCAGCCCAAUAUCAACCUUGUUGCAUUCCGAUAAGGUGCACAAUGACGCACCGCUCUCCUGGGUUUUAUGUGACAUUAGCUUCCAUUACAUUGUAUACGUAGUAUAUUAUAUUACUUAAAAUAAAAUAUUUCAGUGAUAUGGGCAAAAGAUACAAAAGGCAAGGAGUUGGUUGUAGUUAACGGCUACAAAUUCUACAACACAGGCGCGAACUCAAGCCUAAAAUCAGUGUCGUGGCGGUGCACACAUACACACAAACACUGUAGGAGCCAACUCACCACCCAGGACGGCAAGAUUCUUCGUGCAAAUUUAGAACAUAACCACGAGGCUCUCAAUUUUGUUAUACGCAAUGGUGUAUAUCAGAAAGUAUCUAAGAUUUAUGAUAGUAUCCUUAAAUUAAAUAGUCGUAUCUAAAAAUUAUUGCUACGCUCACUCAUUGUAUUAAAAUAUCUUUAUCUUGUCUAUUACAUACGCAUUCAUAACAAAUGUAUAAAUUUCACUGUAUAUCCCGCUUUAAACAGAAAAGAAAUAAUUGUUUUUUUUAUUUUUAUGUUAGUCAUUUUAUUCUGAAUUUAAUUUUAUAUGGAUGUAUUUUCUGAAAUAAAAUAUUGAAUUGAAUUGAACAUAUUAAGAAAAUAAAUACUGUUUUAUAAGAUAUAGCUGCAUAAUGCUAUCCACAACAGGCUUCGUCGUUUUUCCUUAUGUUAAUUAUUAUAAUAGAAAGUAAUUUUAAAGAACUGCCCCAAAUCUCAGACUACAGGUACAAAGGCAACCUCCUCUUAAAUUUAUCUUUAUCUCUUUGCAGUGUAUGUGGCAAGAAAUAGUAGAGGGAAGCAGACAGCGAUUCUUAAUGGCUAUACGUUUUGCUCCAAAAAAGUAAGAAAAAGCACUAUAUCUUGGCAAUGUACUACGCACAGUACAUGCAGGAGCCAGUUCCUCGCUACUAAAGAUGGUCACGUACUACGUGGUGAUAUUGAUCACAAUCAUGCACCACCUAAUUUUGUUAUUCGCGAUGGAUUCUAUUUUAAGGCUCCUCCUCCCGCAAAAUACCGUAAAACUAAGUUAUUCUAAAUCAUUUUUUACAUUCAGCGCAAGUGUCGUUUUGCCUCUACGAAGUAUAUCCGCUACAUACCGGGAAACCCAUGUUAUGGGCUACGCGUAGCGCUACGUCCGUAGCGCAGCGGUGAAUAUGUUAAUGGCGUUUAUUUCGAAGGGAAUUAUGAUAGUUAGAACGUUUCAUUUCGGAGGGAAUUAUAAUAUAUUCUACAACUAUUAGUUGAAUUGCGGAGGAGAAUUCACUCCUACGUAUCAGGUAUAUUAAUAGUACAUUGUGGAAUAAGGGAGGUAUGGACAUAAUAAUUUUACUAACGAGAAUCACCUUAAAUUGUAGAGCCAUAUAUUUAUAAUUAUAACUGAAUGUCUAUUAAUGUAUAAUAAGAUAAAUGUAUAUAAGAAUCGUACAUAUAAAUACCUUUUACAUAUACAUUUAACGCUGACCGAGAGGUGGAACUCACCGAUACUGCGGCGAUGGAUUCAGAUCGAUGGCACAGUGUUUUUUUUUUUAAUUUUUACGGAUUUUAUGAUAAUAUGUAACUGUAGCUGUAGUUUCAAUUAAUUUUACCAAUUUAUUUACUAACAUAGUUUCUUAAGAAUUCACCUAUUGUUACUAAAAUAUUUAAUUUGAAUCUUGAUUCAUAUUUUUAUAUUACUCAUUUUAUUUUGAAUUGAAUUUUAUAUGGACUUAUUUUCUGAAAUAAAUUAUUGUAUUGAAUAUAUAUUAUAAUUAAAAAAUCACUAUUUUUAUUGCAUAAAGCUAUCCGCAACGGGCUCCGCAAUUUUUCCUUAUGUUAAUUAUUAUAAUACACAGUAAUUUUAAAAGACCGCCCCAAAUCGCAAUAUACAGGUACAAAAUCAACCUCCUCUUAAAUAUAUCAUUAUAUCUUUGCAGUGUAUGUGGCAAGAAAUAGUAGAGGGAAGCAGACAGCGAUUCUUAAUGGCUAUACAUUUUGCUCCAAAAAAGUAAGAAAAAACACUAUAUCUUGGCAAUGUACUACGCACAGUACAUGCAGGAGCCAGUUCCUCGCUACUAAAGAUGGUCACGUACUACGUGGUGAUAUUGAUCACAAUCAUGCAGCACCUAAUUUUGUUAUUCGAGAUGGAAUCUAUAUUAAACUGUGAAAUUUAGUUUUUAAGCAUGUUUAUAUAAUGAAAGUAAGCAAGGUAUUAAACGUAGAAUGAAAUGUAGGGGUUGCUUUCUUGAUUUUGAUGAUUGAAAACCUCUUGGUGCCAAUCUGGGUCAUUAUCAUGUGGCUCCUAAAUUGUAUAGACGAUAUAAAAUGUGAAAAACAAUUGCACAUUCCACGAUAUUACGAGUAUGAUAUUGUUUGAGUUAUAUUAAUGUUUCUGUAUUCUGGACCCUUUUCGACGACCGGUCUGGCCUCGUGAGUAGUGACCCUGCCUAUGAAGCCGAUGGUCCCGGGUUCAAAUCCUGGUAAGGGCAUUUAUUCGUGUGAUGAGCAUGGAUAUUUGUUUCUGAGUCAUUGGUGUUUUCUAUGUAUUUAAGUAUUUAUAAAUAUUUAUAUAUUAUAUAUAUCGUUGUCUAAGUACCCUCAACACAAGCCUUAUUGAGCUUACUGUGGGACUUAGUCAAUUUGUGUAAUAAUGUCCUAUAAUAUUUAUUUAUUUUG